UCGCCAUGUUUCGCUCUUCUGCUCCGUUUUCCUUCAAUGGUCAGUGUCAAGAGACACGCGAUGAGGACACAUCACUUCCGGGGCAGCAGCUUGUCAUCCAUAAAAACAGCUGUGCAGACAGAGAGCGGCCAAAUAUAUAACAUAUACAUGCACGAUAAUAUAUCAAGGCACUGAAGCUGUUUCACCUGCCACACAGGAGAGUGUGAAUUGGUUGUGGUAACCAUGGCAACAUAGAAAAAGAAGCGACUGCAUGGCAGGUGGAGGGAAGGAGCCUGUGCACAGUUUAUUAUUGCUGAAUAAGCCUUUGGGGGAGGGGGAACCUUGAAGUUGAGCCUGCUUGUAAUGUCCUAUAAAAAUGAGGGAAACCACUUCAUGCAGCUGUCCUCCACCAGAUAGUGUUAAUGUUUAUCUUAUAUGCAAACAUCCCGCGCUCACAUUAACAGCAACAUUAACGGCAACAUCGAGGCUUUAGUGAGCAGAAGAGAGAGAAACUUUCACUUCACUUUCACAGUUAAUCCUGUCAGCCUGAAAGUUUCCUGUCUUGGUUCUUUAUUUUCUAUUUGCACCACUUAACCACAGAUUUCAGGCACUUUAAUGUUUUUAAAUAUUAUUGGCGGUGUACAGAAAGUUGUUGGAACAAAAGUGUGUAUACAAUGAAGGUUAGAAAGUUCAUUGGCAAGGCCUUGGAUUGUUAUUACUAUGAGCCCAUGAUGUUUCGGUUUUCAUUUUAAUGACACAUUUCUUUUCAAAACACAGAUGUUUUUCUCCCAAACAUUGCAAAAUGUUUGUGUUACCAACAAUAGCUAACUUUAUUCUCUCUCCCAAAUCAUAAUGUUAAGUUGAGUCUACUAAUAACAGACAAGAGCCACAUCUGACUCAUGUUCUGGGCAAUAAAAAAAACACAUUCCCACAUACUAAACAUCCCAACAUCUGAGCGUCCCAUCAAGUCGAUCUAUAUCGGAGAUAGGACUAGGAUAAGAUAAACAUAAAAUAUAAUGAUACAUAUUGAAAACAAUAACAGUAAACCCAUUUAUACACCUCAGUAAAAGCAAAAGAGGAGGGGUAUCUCUUGUAUUCGUGGCAUGUUAUGCAGGAUUAGAGAAGAGCUGAGGUGACAGGUGGCUUCUUUAAUACCAUUCAGAGAGAUACGGCUUCAACAAGAUUGACUUUUAACCAGUCAGGGUUUAAACUCAACUAUCAAGUUUUCUUCAAAUUAUGAGGAGCAGAUGUGAUGGGAAUAAUAUUUUUAAAUAAAUCUAACAAUAUGAAUUGGAGUAUUGUGUGUGUCCAGUGAAAGGAACAGCAGGGGGAGAUAAAGCACCGGUUGACCAACCAGCCAGCUUGGUUGUGUUCACGUCUGUGUGUGAGGAGCUUGGUAGCACGUUGCAUUUUUAAUAGCUACGUGAUAGUUUCUAUUAUCAUUUAAUAAUGUAGCUUUAUUGGCAGAUGACUACUUUCAACUUUGGAUGAACUAAAGCUUGUUUUGAUCCCU